ACGGCUCAGUAACACGUGGAUAACCUGCCCUAAGGAAGGGGAUAACCUCGGGAAACUGAGGAUAAUACCCUAUAGGUUACAGACGCUGGAAUGCCCUGUAACCGAAAGUUCCGGCGCCUUAGGAUGGAUCUGCGGCCGAUUAGGUUGUUGUUGGGGUAACGGCCCAACAAGCCGAUAAUCGGUACGGGUUGUGGGAGCAAGAGCCCGGAGUUGGAUUCUGAGACAUGAAUCCAGGCCCUACGGGGCGCAGCAGGCGCGAAAACUUUACAAUGCGGGAAACCGUGAUAAGGGAACCCCGAGUGCCUGUAUAUGCAGGCUGUCCAGGUGUCUAAAAAACACCUGAAGAAAGGGCCGGGCAAGACCGGUGCCAGCCGCCGCGGUAAUACCGGCGGCUCGAGUGGUGGCCACUUUUAUUGGGCUUAAAGCGUUCGUAGCUGGGUUGUUAAGUCUCUUGGGAAAUCUGACGGCUCAACCGUCAGGCGUCCAAGGGAUACUGGCAAUCUUGGAACCGGGAGAGGUGAGGGGUACUUCGGGGGUAGGAGUGAAAUCCUGUAAUCCUCGAGGGACCACCUGUGGCGAAGGCGCCUCACCAGAACGGCUUCGACAGUGAGGGACGAAAUCUGGGGGAGCAAACCGGAUUAGAUACCCGGGUAGUCCCAGCCGUAAACGAUGCGCGUUAGGUGUAUCGGUGACCACGAGUCACCGAGGUGCCGAAGGGAAACCGUGAAACGUGCCGCCUGGGAAGUACGGUCGCAAGGCUGAAACUUAAAGGAAUUGGCGGGGGAGCAC
rnacentral:rRNA from 1 species